rnacentral:rRNA from 1 species
AUUGAACGCUGGCGGCAGGCCUAACACAUGCAAGUCGAGCGGAUGAAGGGAGCUUGCUCCUGGAUUCAGCGGCGGACGGGUGAGUAAUGACUAGGAAUCUGCCUGGUAGUGGGGGAUAACGUCCGGAAACGGGCGCUAAUACCGCAUACGUCCUGAGGGAGAAAGUGGGGGAUCAUCGGACCUCACGCUAUCAGAUGAGCCUAGGUCGGAUUAGCUAGCUGGUGGGGUAAAGGCCUACCAAGGCGACGAUCCGUAACCGGGCUGGGAGGGUGAUCCGGUCACACUGAACCUGGAACACGGUCCAGAUCCCAACGGAGGGCACCAUUGGGAAAUAUUGGACAUUGGGCGAAAGCCUGAUCCAGCCAUGCCGCGGGGGUGAAGAAGGUCUUCGGAUGGUAAAGCACUUUAAGUUGGAAGGAAGGGCAGUAAGUUAAUACCUUGCUGUUUGGACGUUACCAAUAGAAUAAGCACCGGCAAACUUCGU